rnacentral:rRNA from 1 species
UACGAAGGGGGCUAGCGUUGUUCGGAAUCACUGGGCGUAAAGGGCGCGUAGGCGGCUUUAUAAGUCGGGGGUGAAAAGCCUGUGGCUCAACCACAGAAUUGCCUUCGAUACUGUAUGGCUUGAGACCGGAAGAGGUAAGUGGAACUGCGAGUGUAGAGGUGAAAUUCGUAGAUAUUCGCAAGAACACCAGUGGCGAAGGCGGCUUACUGGUCCGGU